ensembl:misc_RNA Metazoa_SRP Metazoan signal recognition particle RNA
GCCGGGUGUGGUGGCUCACGCCUGUAAUCCCAGCAAUUUGGGAGGCCGAGGUGGGUGGAUCACCUGAGGUCAGGAGUUUGAGACCAGCCUGGCCAACAUGGUGAAACCUCAUCUCUA